UAAGCAGGUCCUAAGCUAUAAUACCCUAG
rnacentral:piRNA from 1 species